GCUUACGGCCAUACCAACCUGGCUAUGCCCGAUCUCGUCUGAUCUCGGAAGCUAAGCAGGUUUGGGCCUGGUUAGUACUUGGAUGGGAGACGCCUGGGAAUACCAGGCUGAAGCU
rnacentral:rRNA from 1 species